CCCUAAACGAAGCAGCAAAGUUAGCCGAUGAACAUUAUGAUUCACGAGUGCACGAAAUGUUCAACUCCCGACCAGCAGCCCAAAUGGAAAUAAGGGAAAGUUACUGAACGCCGGUCCGGAACGAUUUCAGGGCUCCUAUACCAGCGGUGCCUACCCGGUACUCGGGACCACCCAGCAGCAACAUCCCAGACUGUCCCCGGCCCACUUGUCAUCGGUGAAAGCAUCCCGGCCAUCUCAUGGCAAGCUGUCCGCUCAACAAUCACCAGACGCCUUGGAGCUAUAAUCCUUCGUCUGGCCCUUCUCGACCCGCCCGUGCCCUUUGUAUUAACCAGGAGGCCCCCAUGGAGGAAUACCUAGGACCCCUUCACGAAGCUGACCCAGUAUAUGCAGCCUCCGAC